AGGUGAUUGAAAUAUGUAUCAUUUUAUUACACAUUGUGUAAUUAAUAAACAAUACAUGUAAUUAUGUUCACAGCAACUCUUAGGUAUGCCUGUGUGUUUGUAAAAGUGUAUUUAGUGAAGUAUGUUAUUGGUAGAAUAUGUAACUAUUGUAUUACUUACGCAUGCGGUUUGUCAUUUGUAUGUUAACCAUUAAAACUGUUUGUUUGGAGAUAUGAUAAUAUGUGAGUCACCCAGACUGUAAUUGAACUACAAACUUAUUGUCAUUGUUCUAUUUAAAACACAUAGUAGAUCAUGACUGAUAUGUUUGAACCUGAAGUGUUCAUGGCAACCUCCAAAACAUAAACACUCUCGUCUAUUCUUGAUUCGGAGUUGUUCGUUUGUUUUCACGCAACAAGCGACACGACCUUCCUCAAACUCACGUUGAAUGAUGCCGUGCCACGCUAGCAUGUUAAUCAGCACCUGGAAGCCGCAAAUAUAGGCGUGAUCCGAACUAAUGGGCGUGGUCAUGUAUGUCCACUCCAGAGCAGAGCACGAGCAACAGAUGUAGAAUGCCACAGGCACUGGAAUUUACGCGUGCGGUUUAAGAAUAUGCAAUCAAUGUGAUGUCAGUGAUGGUGAACAUGAGGUGGACAUUCCUGGAGUUAUUUCUGUGACUUCCAAUAGGAUACCGCGAUUGAAAGUUUGAAACACUUCCAAGAGGCCUUUUGUUUGUCAACGAAAGAGCGAAUUCAGAAUCAAUCCAAGAUUGCAGAAUUAUCACUUGGAAGAACGAUUGUAAAGGUCCUCACCUCAGUAGGAGUGCAAGAGUAAUGACAGCAGACUGCCUAUAGGAGGCGCACUUAUCACAUUCAUUGAGUAUGGGACUUGAGGACCUGCCUGAUUUGGUGCACAAGAUGUCCACUACUCCACUGCCGCCCCCUCUCUCUCCCUCUCCUAAGGGCCACCACCCCUCCUCUUCCUCAUCGUCUCCUAACA